UGGGGAAUAUUGCACAAUGGGCGCAAGCCUGAUGCAGCCAUGCCGCGUGUGUGAAGAAGGCCUUCGGGUUGUAAAGCACUUUCAGCGGGGAGGAAGGCGGUGAGGUUAAUAACCUCAUCGAUUGACGUUACCCGCAGAAGAAGCACCGGCUAACUCCGUGCCAGCAGCCGCGGUAAUACGGAGGGUGCAAGCGUUAAUCGGAAUUACUGGGCGUAAAGCGCACGCAGGCGGGCUGUCAAGUCGGAUGUGAAAUCCCCGGGCUCAACCUGGGAACUGCAUUCGAAACUGGCAGGCUAGAGUCUUGUAGAGGGGGGUAGAAUUCCAGGUGUAGCGGUGAAAUGCGUAGAGAUCUGGAGGAAUACCGGUGGCGAAGGCGGCCCCCUGGACAAAGACUGACGCUCAGGUGCGAAAGCGUGGGGAGCAAACA
rnacentral:rRNA from 1 species